AUUGAACGCUAGCGGGAUGCUUUACACAUGCAAGUCGAACGAGGGGCGGACGGGUGAGUAAUAUAUCGGAACGUGACCAGUAGCGGGGGAUAACUACUCGAAAGAGUGGCUAAUACGGCAUACUAUUGGAGCGGCCGCAAUAGGAUUGGCUCGUGGGUGGGGGAAAGGCUCACCAAGGCAACGAUCCGUAGCUGGUUUGAGAGGACGACCAGCCACACUGGGACUGAGACACGGCCCAGACUCCUACGGGAGGCAGCAGUGGGGAAUUUUGGACAAUGGGGGAAACCCUGAUCCAGCCAUCCCGCGUGUAUGAGAAGGCCUUCGGGUUGUAAAGUACUUUUGGCAGAGAAGCGGUAUCUGCAGAAUAAGCACCGGCUCACUCCGUGCCAGCAGCCGCGGUAAUAC
rnacentral:rRNA from 1 species